rnacentral:rRNA from 1 species
AUUGAACGCUGGCGGCAGGCCUAACACAUGCAAGUCGAACGAGUGGCGGACGGGUGAGUAAUGUCUGGGAAACUGCCCGAUGGAGGGGGAUAACUACUGGAAACGGUAGCUAAUACCGCAUACCAUCGGAUGUACCCAUAUGGGAUUAGCUAGUAGGUGGGGUAAAGGCUCACCUAGGCGACGAUCCCUAGCUGGUCUGAGAGGAUGACCAGCCACACUGGGACUGAGACACGGUCACGACUCCUACGGGAGGCAGCAGUGGUGAAUAUUGCACAAUGGGCGCAAGCCUGAUGCAGCCAUGCCGCGUGUAUGAAGAAGGCCUUAGGGUUGUAAAGUACUUUCAGCGGGGAGGCGUUACCCGCAGAAGAAGCACCGGCUAACUCCGUGCCAGCCGCCGCGGUAAUUC